rnacentral:siRNA from 1 species
AUGAAGAACGUAGCGAAAUGCGA